UACGAAGGGGGCUAGCGUUGCUCGGAAUUACUGGGCGUAAAGGGAGCGUAGGCGGACAUUUAAGUCAGGGGUGAAAUCCCGAGGCUCAACCUCGGAACUGCCUUUGAUACUGGAUGUCUUGAGUGUGAGAGAGGUAUGUGGAACUCCGAGUGUAGAGGUGAAAUUCGUAGAUAUUCGGAAGAACACCAGUGGCGAAGGCGACAUACUGGCUCAUUACUGACGCUGAGGCUCGAAAGCGUGGGGAGCAAACAGG
rnacentral:rRNA from 1 species